GGCGGCGAGUGGCGGACGGGUGAGGAAUACAUAGGAAUCUGCCCAGUUGUGGGGGAUAACGUAGGGAAACUUACGCUAAUACCGCAUACGACCGAGAGGUGAAAGCAGGGGAUCUUCGGACCUUGCGCGAUUGGAUGAGCCUAUGUCUGAUUAGCUAGUUGGUGGGGUAAAGGCCUACCAAGGCGACGAUCAGUAGCUGGUCUGAGAGGAUGAUCAGCCACACUGGGACUGAGACACGGCCCAGACUCCUACGGGAGGCAGCAGUGGGGAAUAUUGGACAAUGGGCGCAAGCCUGAUCCAGCAAUGCCGCGUGGGUGAAGAAGGCCUUCGGGUUGUAAAGCCCUUUUGUACGGGAAGAAAGCUUUCGGGUUAAUACCCUGGGAGGAUGACGGUACCGUAAGAAUAAGCACCGGCUAACUUCGUGCCAGCAGCCGCGGUAAUACGAAGGGUGCAAGCGUUAAUCGGAAUUACUGGGCGUAAAGCGUGCGUAGGUGGUUGUUCAAGUCUGUCGUGAAAGCCCUGGGCUCAACCUGGGAAUUGCGAUGGAAACUGGAUGGCUAGAGUGUGGUAGAGGAUGGCGGAAUUCCCGGUGUAGCGGUGAAAUGCGUAGAGAUCGGGAGGAACAUCUGUGGCGAA
rnacentral:rRNA from 1 species